GACGAACGCUGGCGGCGUGCUUAACACAUGCAAGUCGAACGGAAAGGCCCUGCUUUUGUGGGGUGCUCGAGUGGCGAACGGGUGAGUAACAAGUGAGUAACCUGCCCUUGACUUUGGGAUAACUUCAGGAAACUGGGGCUAAUACCGGAUAGGAGCUCCUGCUGCAUGGUGGGGGUUGGAAAGUUUCGGCGGUUGGGGAUGGACUCGCGGCUUAUCAGCUUGUUGGUGGGGUAGUGGCUUACCAAGGCUUUGACGGGUAGCCGGGCGGAGAGGGUGACCGGCCACAGGGGGACGGAGAGACGCCCCAGACUCCUACGGGAGGCAGCGGGGGGGAAUAUUGCACAAGGGGCGGAAGCCUGCUGCAGCACCGCCGCGGGCGGGAUGGCGGCCUUGGGGUUGUAAGCCGUUUUCGCCUGUGACGAAGCGUGAGUGACGGUAAUGAGAAAAGAAACACGGGCAAACUACG
rnacentral:rRNA from 1 species